rnacentral:lncRNA from 1 species
AUGGUUAAUGUUAGAAUUGGUGGAGGGGAAGCUGAUCUUAGAUCUGGAGCGAGAAGCUCAGGACACACACACACACACACACACAGAGACAUGUCAUUUCUACUACUACAGUAUCUUUCAAUGUUCUGUCUACAUCUGGAUCUAACCAAUCCAAACACUGGAGUAGUUACACACUGGAGCGCAGAUAGAAUUAGAAAACAUAGAGGGAGAAGUAGAGGGAGCGCAUAUAUCUAUUACAGAGAAAAGCAGGUAUAGAACUGGAAAACAGAGUGAAAACAUAGGAGUGUUUUGUUGAAGAGACGUUGAACAGGUCUAGCUGUUCUCUCUUUGAUAGAGUGGAGCAGAAAUAGAACUAUAAAAGGACAGCAUUUUUGCACUGGGAGAGCAGAGAAAGGAACAUAUGCCAAACGUCACCAUAGUCACCAUAGCAGGAGGCCAUAGACUACUCAGAUGACAGACACUCAACACUCAACAUCCAACACUGACUCUAUACCUUAGAUGUUUCAACUUUUUCAACAUAGCCUGGAAUGUGUGGCGGAAAUAUUUCAAGGGAAUUGUUGCUCAGUAGGUCUUCAACGUCGCCUGGGGAGUUGUGUGUUUCAGCUGUAGGGAAGUCUGUUGUCUUUGUCUUGCCAAACACGGAAGCAACAAUGUAGCGAUGUUGACUGACUCAACAGUCAAACACCCAGGUUACAAUAAGGAACUGGAGAUUUUACUGUAUAUCAGGAGAAUUGAACUCUGACCCUACGAGGUCCGGAGCCUGCUGCUUUUCUGUUCUCCCUGGUUAUGAAUAGCAGCCACCCCAGGUAUAAGUCAGUCCCUGGUUAGUGGGGAACAAAGAAAAAAAGCAGGGGAACUGGCUUUGAAGGUCCGGAUUCGAAUUUGAGAGCUGUAGGUCAUUCAUUGUGCCAUAGUGGUUAUGUCUCUCUCUUCCCCAUCCUGAGACUAGAGCAGGGCUGUCAGCAUCAGUUCCGUGGAAGGCUGUAGGUCUUCAUUGUGCCAUAGUGGUUAUGUCUCUCUCUUCCCCAUCCUGAGACUAGAGCAGGGCUGUCAGCAUCAGUUCCGUGGAAGGCUGUAGGUCUUCAUUGUGCCAUAGUGGUUAUGUCUCUCUCUUCCCCAUCCUGAGACUAGAGCAGGGCUGUCAGCAUCAGUUCCGUGGAAGGUUGUAGGUCUUCUGGUUUUUCUUAUGUUCCCUUUCAUUUGUGUCCAUUUAAGAACUAGACAACCAGCUAAAGAUAAUUUCCUUACUGCUGACCUUAAUUAAUCUUUCAAGUAGAAGGGAGAACUGAAAACCCGCAGCCACUCGGCCCUCCAGGAAUUGAGUUUGUCACCCCUGGACUACCCCAGGUAUCAGGCUAGAAAUAAGACUAGCUUAGGCAGUAUGUCUCACUCCUGGUCCUAGCACUCUAGAACCAGGAUGGAGAACCACUGAGCUAAGGGAGUGGGGACAGCCAUCACCGAGGGAGGAAUAGAAUCUGGGAUGGGAUGCUUUGAAAAACAAUGUCAAACUUUUUGGAAUGGCUCUGAGAGAUAAAUGUUAUCCAACUCUGUAUGUACUGUACAUGAUUUAAACAUGGUGUUUUUUUUAUUUCUUAACUUAUUUCAGAUGGAGGAUGUGUCAUUCUCUGGUUCCUAAGUGUAAUUAUUGUUGCUGAUGAUAAUUAUUGUUGUUGUAUAUUGUUAUUGUUAAUGAAUGCUAUUUUUAAUAUAAACAUAAAGGCCAGAAUUAUAUUAAUAUAAUGAACGUGUGUAUCGUCUUUCCUUAUUUGACUUUGACAGACACACACUCAAGCACAUGCACUCAUACCUAAUGAAAUGAUGAAACGCACGCAGUGUGUGUGUGUGUAUAUACACUGCUCAAAAAAAAAGGGGGACACUUAAACAACACAAUGUAACUCCAAGUCAAUCACACUUCUGUGAAAUCAAACUGUCCACUUAGGAAGCAACACUGAUUGACAAUAAAUUUCACAUGCUGUUGUGCAAAUGGAAUAGACAACAGGUGGAAAUUAUAGGCAAUUAGCAAGACACCCCCAAUAAAGGAGUGGUUCUGCAGGUGGUGACCACAGACCACUUCUCAGUUCCUAUGCUUCCUGGCUGAUGUUUUGGUCACUUUUGAAUGCUGGCGGUGCUUUCACUCGAUUGGUAGCAUGAGACGGAGUCUACAACCCACACAAGUGGCUCAGGUAGUGCAGCUCAUCCAGGAGGCGCUACCAGGAGACAGGCCAGUAAAUCAGGAGACAUGGAGGAGGCCGUAGGAGGGCAACAAACCAGCAGCAGGACCGCUACCUCCGCCUUUGUGCAAGGAGGAGCAGGAGGAGCACUGCCAGAGCCCUGCAAAAUGACCUUCAGCAGGCCACAAAUGUGCAUGUGUCUGCUCAAACGGUCAGAAACAGACUCCAUAAGUGUGGUAUGAGGGCCAGACGUCCACAGGUGGGGGUUGUGCUUACAGCCCAACACCGUGCAGGACGUUUGGCAUUUUCCAGAGAACACCAAGAUGGGCA